GAUGAAGAACGUAGCGAAAUGCGAUACGUAGUGUGAAUUGCAGAAUUCAGUGAAUCAUCGAAUCUUUGAACGCACAUUGCACCUCUCGGUAUUCCGGGAGGUAUGCCUGUUCGAGCGUCAUUUGUACCCUCAAGCUCUGCUUGGUGUUGGGUGUUUGUUCCGCCUCUGUGUGUGAACUCGCCUCAAAACAAUUGGCAGCCGGCGUACUUGUUUCGGAGCGCAGCACAUUUUGCGAUCCAGAUCAACGUACAGCGGCAUCCAAGAAGCCUUAUUUAACGCUCUUGACCUCGGAUCAGGUAGGGAUACCCGCUGAACUUAAGCAUAUCAAAGCGGAGGA
rnacentral:misc_RNA from 1 species